ACUCAGAGAAAUAUGAGCUAAUACCGGAUAAUGUCUUCGGACCAAAGAUUUAUCGCCUUUAGAUGGGCCCGCGUUAGAUUAGAUAGUUGGUGGGGUAAUGGCCUACCAAGUCGACGAUCUAUAGCUGGUCUGAGAGGAUGAUCAGCCACACUGGGACUGAGACACGGCCCAGACUCCUACGGGAGGCAGCAGUGGGGAAUAUUGGACAAUGGGCGAAAGCCUGAUCCAGCAAUGCCGCGUGAGUGAUGAAGGCCUUAGGGUUGUAAAGCUCUUUUACUAGGGAUGAUAAUGACAGUACCUAGAGAAUAAGCUCCGGCUAACUCCGUGCCAGCAGCCGCGGUAAUACGGAGGGAGCUAGCGUUGUUCGGAAUUACUGGGCGUAAAGAGAACGUAGGCGGCUAUCCAAGUCAGGGGUGAAAUCCCGGGGCUCAACCCCGGAACUGCCCUUGAAACUAGGUAGCUAGAAUUCUGGAGAGGUUAGUGGAAUUCCGAGUGUAGAGGUGAAAUUCGUAGAUAUUCGGAAGAACACCAGUGGCGAAGGCGACUGACUGGACAGAUAUUGACGCUGAGGUUCGAAAGCGUGGGGAGCGAACAGGAUUAGAUACCCUGGUAGUCCACGCCGUAAACGAUGAUAACUAGCUGUUCGGGCUCAUAGAGCUUGAGUGGCGCAGCUAACGCAUUAAGUUAUCCGCCUGGGGAGUACGGUCGCAAGAUUAAAACUC
rnacentral:rRNA from 1 species